AUCAGUUGUAGGGUUUUGCCCUUAUUUUGCAUUUCUCUACAAGCUUGCUUGAGUUCAAACAGUUUUCAGUAUAAACUACGUGUCAUUAAUGGGAGUCGCUGUUGUACGAAUUACGGUUCCCUCUUGCCUGGCACCGGUGACAAACAGGAACUCAUGCAAGCAAGCGGCAAUAGUCGGAGCGCUGAAGUAGCGGAGGGUCAGCCAUAUUGCCGCGCUGUUAGUUCUGCAGAGGAGUGUCCGAGGCUGCCCUGCGGUAGAACCAUCUUAAAUCACACCUGCUCUGGAAGGCACUGACUGUGGAGACGUCAUUUAGUAGACUAUCCGAAGUAUUUGGAAACCAACUUCACAGCUCCGCGCACGGACCCAGGAAAAGGACACAAAAUGCCUAAAGCUGUAAGUAUUGCAGUGAUUUUAUAUAUUUCAAAGAUGUUAAGGUAGUCAGAGUUCUACUGAGUUGUCUAAACAUAUGCUUGGUAACUAAAGAGGAUACGUUGGCAGUCCUGAGUCGAGAUCCAAGUAGCCCCAGCAGGCAAGAGACACGAUGUCUGCUCAUGAUAAGAGGAGAUACUAUAAGCUAUUUGUGCUGUAAUGACUAUCUUACACCAAAUAUAUAUUAUUUUUCUAUGGUUUAAUUUGUAGUUUCACUUGUAGAUGAAAAUACAAACAUCCUCAUUGAUAUCAAUACAUUCUCUUGAAGAUGAGAAUAAGAAGUUGGCCUCUUGUAAGUGGUCACACUGUCUGAAUAUAUGUGCUUCCUCACAUGAAGUUUAGUCAUCUUCAUUAGUCCUACUCUCAGAACCUUUUUGUUUGACUUAAUGUAAUAUCCUAGCUGAGGCCUACCUGGGUUUAAAGCUGGUCAUUUUUUUGGGGUGACAUUUGUCUUUGACAGCACUUCCCAAAAAAACUAUGGACUUUCAUUAACCCCCCAGUCUCUCAUCUGAGACACUAGAAGACUAGGAGUCAUAAAGUGUUAAGAGCAUCACUGGAAAGUGACAUCAUUGUGGUGCUGGCUACAUGACACAGUAGCACUCUUAGCACUCUCUGGUACUCCACAUUUAGGCACACAACCUGCCUUUUUUGGUAAUAUAAUGGCAGACCGUUUUAUUUUCUCUCCACAAUAUCAAUGAUGAGGCAUAAGCAUUGAUUUACUGCCACUUACUGGCUUCUUUCUAUAUACCGUGAGUUAAGAAAGACAUUAAAUAUUGCUAAUGUUUUUUUGAUGAUCUUGCUCCUAUUUAUAGCAUUGGUUGGUCAACAUUUUUUGUUAGGCUGUGGCUGCUACGCUCACUACUGACUAGAAGGGCUUUCUAUAACACAAACUGAGUUUCACUGACAUGAUGAUCAGCCCAUAUUGAGAUUCAGUAUCGUGAGUUGUGAUGCAAUACUAUCAACCAUUUAAGCCAAAAUCCUAUUUACUGUGAAAAACACAUCAAACCUGGUAGA
rnacentral:lncRNA from 1 species